AGUUUGAUCAUGGCUCAGGAUGAACGCUGGCGGCGUGCCUAAUACAUGCAAGUCGAGCGAACAGACGAGGAGCUUGCUCCUUUGACGUUAGCGGCGGACGGGUGAGUAACACGUGGGUAACCUACCUAUAAGACUGGGAUAACUUCGGGAAACCGGAGCUAAUACCGGAUAAUAUUUCGAACCGCAUGGUUCGAUAGUGAAAGAUGGCUCUGCUAUCACUUAUAGAUGGACCUGCGCCGUAUUAGCUAGUUGGUAAGGUAACGGCUUACCAAGGCAACGAUACGUAGCCGACCUGAGAGGGUGAUCGGCCACACUGGAACUGAGACACGGUCCAGACUCUACGGGAGGCAGCAGUAGGGAAUCUUCCGCAAUGGGCGAAAGCUGACGGAGCAACGCCGCGUGAGUGAUGAAGGUCUUCGGAUCGUAAAACUCUGUUAUUAGGGAAGAACAAACGUGUAAGUAACUGUGCACGUCUUGACGGUACCUAAUCAGAAAGCCACGGCUAACUACGUGCCAGCAGCCGCGGUAAUACGUAGGUGGCAAGCGUUAUCCGGAAUUAUUGGGCGUAAAGCGCGCGUAGGCGGUUUNNNAAGUCUGAUGUGAAAGCCCACGGCUCNACCGUGGAGGGUCAUUGGAAACUGGAAAACUUGAGUGCAGAAGAGGAAAGUGGAAUUCCAUGUGUAGCGGUGAAAUGCGCAGAGAUAUGGAGGAACACCAGUGGCGAAGGCGACUUUCUGGUCUGUAACUGACGCUGAUGUGCGAAAGCGUGGGGAUCAAACAGGAUUAGAUACCCUGGUAGUCCACGCCGUAAACGAUGAGUGCUAAGUGUUAGGGGGUUUCCGCCCCUUAGUGCUGCANNNAACGCAUUAAGCACUCNGCCUGGGG
rnacentral:rRNA from 1 species